UUUUUGCCUGACGUAUCUAUACCCCCACUCCCACUUGACGCACCUACGCACACGGCUGUAUUCCUUCCUGCGCAUCGGCUCUCUCGUCUCUUCUUUUACUCCAUCCGCACUUCUUAACAGCACGUUGCUACUCCUGCGUGCGCGCGCGCGCUCUCAUAGUCCCUCGCACAUCGCGCUUCACCGUAGCGCGGCGUCCGUUUUCGCACCGCGGGAAAGCCUCAAAGAAGCAAAAAGAAAGAAAAAAAAAAAGGACACCGACGAGAGCAGGGCGAGCCGCGAGGGCUCCCACACGCGCGGCGUAAACGACCAGGGCAAAUCGCGGAGGCGAGUGGAACAGCGACGCGCAGGCCGCACACGGAGCGCGCUUUGCUGUCGUCUGCGCAGAACGGAUCGAGGGAGAGGAAAACCGGCACCCUCCACGCCACAGCCGGCGGCGACUAUCCACUGGUUGUACUCAACAUGCUCGCGACAUUCUUUGGGCGGCGGGCAGAGCCGGAGUUUAAGGUGGUGUGCGACCCCGAGUCUAUCGUGUUCCCGGUCGACUUCGAUGCCCCAGACUAUCCUUAUGAGCAAGCCUUCGAGGAAGCAGACGCGUACGUGCGAAAGCUGCCCAUGCGGGGCGUUGUCCCUGUCUCUGACGUGCUGAGGCUGCAGUUCUACUCCCUCUUCAAGCAAGCAACGGAGGGUGACAUCAACGAGGACGUGAAGCAGCCGAGCAUGCUGCGGGACUGGGAGGGGUACUGGAAGGUGUACGGCUGGCGCAAGUGUCGCGGGAUGACCCGUGAGAGGGCGCGUGACUUAUACAUCGAUCUGUUAGACGUGCAGAUUCGCAAGCACUGUUCAUUCGUGUGGGGGGCCCCAUCCGGUGAGGAUCGGUGGGUCGCCUUCCACGACGGUGUGAAGAUUAUCCGGAACCUUCCAAAGGGUGGCUACUACCUCCCCGAUUCGCUGCGCGCGCACUUCUACGCUCUCUACAAGCAGGCGCUUGUGGGAAACCUCAGCGACUUCCAGAAGACCCCCGCUGCGUUCUCAGAGAAGAAGUACAAGUGGCUGCGCUCCCGCCCAUCGAAGGCAGGUUUUGACCAGAUGCGGUACGACGAGUGGGCGGCUGUGAAGGGGAUGAGCUGCGAGAAUGCGAAGCGCAUGUACUGUAAGGAUAUUUUCAAGAGCGCCGCCAUGUGCGGCUACGUGUGGGCGCCGCCGGGGACAGAGGACCACCUCAAGGUGAUCGGCGAUCAGACUAGCGCCAAAACGCUCAAGAAGCGCACCGAUGCUGACGAGCGUGCCGAGAGGAUCGCAGGGGCGACGCAUCUCACCAUGGAGGAAGCUAUGGACGCCGUCGGCGUGCAUCUGUCGAUGGUGGAGCGGCUGGCGAUGCACUCCUUCACGAAGAAGGAGCAGGCCGCCGCUGCCAAGGCGCCCGAGGAGGUGGCAGGACGGAAGAAGCGAGAGGAGAAGGCGGAGAUGAAGCGCCGAGGCGUCGCGGGCUCUUACGUGGAUCUGAACAAGGGCGUGGCCGUCGCGAGACCAAAGUCGGAGAAAUCGACGGAGGCGACCGUCACGGAGAAAAUGGAAGAGGCAGACGUCAAGGAGGAUGCUGAGCGGUGUCUGGAGGCGCAGGACACGGACAAAGACAUUCAGAGCGUGUGCAAUAUCUGCAGGAGCUUCGCGAAGGAUAUCGCCUCCGACUCGGCGGCGCCGGAGAAGGUGAAGGAGAGCGGCGCCGCCGCUGCCGCAGCGAAGGACUGCACAGUUGAUUCGACGUCUCCGACACCGGUGCCGAAGCUGGAAGCAUCCGCGAAGGUGGCAGAAGCAUCGAAGAUCCUUCCCUCGAAGAGUGAGCCUGUGCUGAAGAAGGAGCCGGCGGUGAAGGUCACCUCUAAGGGCGCUGCAUCAAGCCACCAGGCGAAGAACGGCGCUAAGAAGGGCCCUGCUGCAAAAAGAAUGAAGGCUAAAUAAUAUCUGAAGCGCACCUGUUUUAGGGCGUGGUAGGCGCAUGACUGCCUUUCGCCUCUCGCCCACAUGCGAGAAGGGCCAACUGCACGCACAGAAGUGGCGCGCCCUCCUCCGGUUCAUCUGCGUUCUUUUUUUUUUCGUUCCUUCCUUUCUCUAUUUACGUGUCGCUCUGCGUCCGCAUGUUGCUGGCCGACCCAUCACACCUUCCCCCACCUCCCCUCUCCCUCCCUCAGCUGUGUCUGCUACUCGUUGGCGCGUGUUCGUUGGCUAGGGUGUCGCCGUGGGGGGGUAUUUUAUCUGAUGUGUGUGUAUAUAUAUGCGUAUAUAUAUAUAUAUAUUGAUAACUAUAGAUACGUGCGUGUGUGUCGGUAGCUAUCCCUGUCCCCUCGCUCAGUCGUCUUCUUAUUAGUGUCGUUGUUGUUUCGCUUGAUUAGGUGUUUUUCAUUGCUCAUGCGUGUCUCCCUCUCCUUUUCCUUCGCUUGCCCCUUGUAACGCUAUAAUGCCCGGGCGAGAGCGGGGGCUCGCGGUGCGAGGGAGGAGGAGGGAGGGAGGGAGGGAGCGUGUGUGUGUGGGGGGGGCACGGACCCUUUCGUCUCAUUUUCAUAUUGCAGUUCUGCGCUUAUAGCUUCAGCGCCACGCACCCUGUGCGCUUUCACCUCGACUUGCGCGAUAAAGGAAAAGGACAUACGCACACACUUCAGCAUUGCACGAUAGACGAGGGGCGCCUAGCGACUCUGUGGGGAGGGACCCGUUCUGCACGACCGAACGGAACCAGUAGAGAGGCACUCUGGCCGUGGACACUGUCCAAGGCGGAUGCACUGCCGCACACCCCGACAACCCAUGCACCCACCGUGCGUCUGUGUACGUGCCUCUGUGCAUCUAUGUGUCUGAAAAGGAUGCUUUGCAUUUCUUCGUUAGUUGCUUUUUGUCGUGCCCGUGUAGUGGUGCUUGUGCGUGUACCGCCUCUUUCUCAUCGCGUGUCACUCUUCGUAGCUGCGCUACGCACUGCUGCUGCUGCUGCUGCUCCAGUCAGCCGCCGCAUGUGCUUUCUGCGCUUCCGCCCACCUCCUCUUUUUGUUUCAUGUCUCACAUGCCCCUUCGCUUCUUUUUUUUUCCUCGCUGCGUGUGUGUGCCACCCAUCCGUUGUUGUUGUGGUUUUUGUACGUAUGCGUCUCUCCCUCUGUGCGUGUGCGUGUGAUAUGGUUGCUCGCUUUGUUUUCCCUCUCAUGUGCACAGUGGCGGCCGCCGAAGCCGCCUCCUCUUCUCACCGUCUUCCCCAUUUACUCUUGCUCUUCUCUGUUGUUUUUCUUUUUUUUUGUGUGUUGCUCUCCAACGCCAUUCAUCAUUGCCACCGUUAUCGCCGACUGUCUACGCCUUUCCGUUGCGCGCGCCCUUCGUUUUUCUCGCUAUCCCCCGCCCCUUUCUCCCUCUCGAUCCCAUCAUCUUGUUCGCAUCCUGCUGCUGCUCCCUGUCGCCUCCCCUCCUUCCAUAGGCGCAUCGCUUUAUGUGUGUGUCCAUGCGCGCGUGCGUGCUCAUGUGUUUUCCGUUUGGCGUGCGGGUGUGAGCAUCUGUGCGCGGACUGCGCGCUUCUCUCUUUUUUUUUUCGACCUCCUCCCUUUCCUUCCACGCUGGCAGUUUCGUGGGUGCUAUGCUCCCCUCCACACAAGGCUUGUGCACACGUGUUUCCUUUCUGCGCCCUGCAAGAACGGAAUGAGGAUCGCGACAAGCAACAGGAACGCGGAGAGGGAGGGAGGAGUUCCAGUGAAGAUGAGUGCGUGCAUGUAUACCCCUCCACCACUCUCCGUCGUCCUCUCUCUUCCACGAGUGCGGAGGCCCGAAGUUUUAACUACCGAGGCGCUCAUGCUAUCAUGCGGGCUUCCCAGCAACAUCGUCACGGUCCCUCCCACACGACCUCUUCCCCCUCCCCUCUUUAGCCUGCUCUAUUCCUUUCGACUCUCACGCUGGCAUUUUGCUUGUUCGUCAUCACGUCUCUUAUUCUUUUCAGCUGUAUUUCUGAUUUUGGUGCCGUGUGUCUUUACCGGACGCAUGCGCAUCAUCGGCGCCCGUGUGUGUGUGUGUGUCUAUGCGGGUGACUCUUUCCUUGCGCCUCGCCCCCCUCGGCUCCCACCGUCCUUCUCGCGGCCGCUUCCUGUGAGGAGGGGCGCGACUUCCACGGCGGCGCGUGUGAUAAAGUGGACAAGGGAGAGAGGGCGAAGAGGGGAGAAGGAGGGGACAAGCUACCCCGACGACGACUUCG
rnacentral:misc_RNA from 1 species